GUGAGAGCUGGACAAUAAAAAAGGCUGAGCACCGAAGAAUUGACACUUUCAAAGUGUGGUGCUGGAGAAGACUCUUGAGAGUCCCUUGGACUGCAAGAAGAUCAAACCAGUCAACCCUGAAGGAAAUCAACCCUGAAUAUUCACUGGAAGGGCUGAUGCUGAAGCUGAAGCUCCAAUCCUUUGGUCACCUGAUGCGAAGAACUGAUUUAUUAGAAAAGAUUCUAAUGCUGGGAAAGAUGGAGGGCAGGAGGAGAAGGGGGCUACAGAGCAUGAGAUGGUUGGAUGGCAUCACCGACUCAAUGGACAUGAGUUUGAGCAAACCCUGGGAGUUGGUGAUGGACAGGGAGGCCUGGCGUGCUGCAGUCCAUGGGGCCACAAAGAGUUGGACACGACUGAGCAACUGAACAACAACAGCAAGUAAGCAGAGGUUGCCGAUGGAGACACAGGAUGCAGGAUGUGGCAGCUGGGGAGUUUCCUCUCCUCUGCCAUCUUCAAUGCUGCACUUUAUUUCCAAGGAGACAUGAGUCUGUGUAAUGACAAUAGUGACCUCCAUUUCUGUUGUCCGUCUUGUGUGCCCAGUGGAACAUGCCUUUACUCCUCUACCACUCACCAUAAUCCCAAAAGUGCCAAAAUCAUAUUCUCAAUCUGCUGCGGAAAGGAUCCAAAUAUUGGCUUCAUCCACCGAAGCUAAUGGUGAAGAGUAGACACAUCAACCAAAACUCAAGAUGAAGAAUGACGGAAAAUCUUACCUGUUGAGAAAGGGGAAGACAUGGGUGCACUGACUGAAGAAUCCCAGGGCAGUCUCUACUUUGUGAUGCCAACCUCAGGACUGGCAGCUUCAGGCUCAUCCUUAUUCCUUCAGCAACUUCAGUAGAAAGAAGCAGUCCCUGCUUUCAACAUCGCCAUCAAAAGUCCGGGAGGACACAUAUACAUGGUUGAUACUAUGUAGACAAUAGAUAACUGGUGUAAACCUCUGUAUAGCACAGAGAACUCUGCUUAGCUCUCUGUGGUGAAUUAAAUGGGAAGGAAAUCUAAAG